rnacentral:sRNA from 1 species
GCUGGGCACGGUGGCUCACACCUGUAAUCCCAGCAAUUUGGGAGGCUGAGGUGGGUGGAUCACCUGAGGUCAGGAGACCAGCCUGGCCAAUAUGGUGAAACCCCAUCUCUACUAAAAGCACAAAAAAUUAGCCAGGUAUGCUGGCACCUGCCUGUAAUCCCAGCUACUCAGGAGGCUGAGGCAGUAGAAUUGCUUGAACCUAGGGGAUGGAGGUUGCAGUGAGCUGAGAUUGCACCACUGUGCUCCAGCCUGGGCAACAGAGUGAGACUCCAUCUCA